rnacentral:rRNA from 1 species
AUUGAACGCUGGCGGCAUGCCUUACACAUGCAAGUCGAACGGCAGCACGGGUGCUUGCACCUGGUGGCGAGUGGCGAACGGGUGAGUAAUACAUCGGAACAUGUCCUGUAGUGGGGGAUAGCCCGGCGAAAGCCGGAUUAAUACCGCAUACGAUCCACGGAUGAAAGCGGGGGACCUUCGGGCCUCGCGCUAUAGGGUUGGCCGAUGGCUGAUUAGCUAGUUGGUGGGGUUAAGGCCUACCAAGGCGACGAUCAGUAGCUGGUCUGAGAGGACGACCAGCCACACUGGGACUGAGACACGGCCCAGACUCCUACGGGAGGCAGCAGUGGGGAAUUUUGGACAAUGGGCGAAAGCCUGAUCCAGCAAUGCCGCGUGUGUGAAGAAGGCCUUCGGGUUGUAAAGCACUUUUGUCCGGAAAGAAAUCCUUGACUCUAAUACAGUCGGGGGAUGACGGUACCGGAAGAAUAAGCACCGGCUAACUACGUG